GACAGGAGGGGCGAGCGUUGAGCGUUUGUACUGGGCCUAAAGCGCGGGUAUGUGGGUAUGAAAACCAACAUUGUUUGUGUAUUUUUUGAUACAUUUACAAAACUCUGCGUUGAACUUGGUUCAACACGAGUGAAGAAAGGCCCUCCGAGGAUGGAGGCGUUUCUGUAGUGAAAUUCAUACCUGGGGUCCAAUGGAAGGUUGACAGAAUGGCCCAAGGACCGGUAGAAUGGGAAAGAUAUGGGUUGGAAUAGUCGACAGCGAAGGCA
rnacentral:rRNA from 1 species